GAUGAACGCUGGCGGCGUGCCUAAUACAUGCGAGUCGAGCGAACGGACGAGAAGCUUGCUUCUCUGAUGUUAGCGGCGGACGGGUGAGUAACACGUGGAUAACCUACCUAUAAGACUGGGAUAACUUCGGGAAACCGUAGCUAAUACCGGAUAAUAUUUUGAACCGCAUGGUUCAAAAGUGAAAGACGGUCUUGCUGUCACUUAUAGAUGGAUCCGCGCUGCAUUAGCUAGUUGGUAAGGUAACGGCUUACCAAGGCAACGAUGCAUAGCCGACCUGAGAGGGUGAUCGGCCACACUGGAACUGAGACACGGUCCAGACUCCUACGGGAGGCAGCAGUAGGGAAUCUUCCGCAAUGGGCGAAAGCCUGACGGAGCAACGCCGCGUGAGUGAUGAAGGUCUUCGGAUCGUAAAACUCUGUUAUUAGGGAAGAACAUAUGUGUAAGUAACUGUGCACAUCUUGACGGUACCUAAUCAGAAAGCCACGGCUAACUACGU
rnacentral:rRNA from 1 species